UCCCAAAAAAAAAACUUCUCUCUCUCGACAAAUCUCACUUCUUAUCUUCUCCGAUGUAUAUCUCCCUCUCACUUUCUCCAGAUCUUACUUCUCUUCUCCAACAAUUCUCACUUCUCCUCUUCUUUCAAAAAUCAUUUUAGGGUAUUGUGUUCUCUCUGUGUUUCAAUAAAUCUAGGGUUUCUCAUUCCCUUUCUUUCCUAGGGUCUGAGACACGAGAGACAGAAGAAAAGAGAGACGAGACGAAAUUGAGAUAGAGAGGAGAGAGAGCUCCGGUCGUGUCUUGCUUCGUCCCCGAUAACCAUAGAUUGGGUUGGGUUGGGUGGGGUCUUGCUUUGUCUCCGCCGUUUUUGCCUCAGCUUCAUAGAUCCGCCGUGUUCAAGUUCCGCCGCUGCUUGUACCUUUUUCAGCACUCGUCUCGAGAGAAGAGUUUGAGUCAAGCGAUAAGAGAAGGCAGACGAUGGAGACAAUGGAAGAGACACCCUGCCACUCGAGCUGGCAAUCUAAGAGGAGAUGGAGACGGGGAGAAGAAGAAGAGCCGGAGAAAACAGAGGUGGAGUUUCAGAUUCAAAACGAGAGAAAACACAAGAGCAAGGAAGAAGAAGAUGAGAAUGACAAAGUGGCUGUAGGCGAGGAACUCAGAUCUAGAGGCGUGUGUCUGCGAGAAGUUAUGAAUAUACACAAGAUCUUGAUUCUUAUGAGGAAGCUUUGUUGAUUUCUCAAGACCUGUUUGUUUAAUUGCUUUAAAGAAUCAACUUUAUGCUGCUGUUGGUUCUCUGUUACUAACUCCCAUCUUCUUCUUCUCUAGUAAGUAGUGGUCAUCUCAUUCUUCUUUGGAUAUAUUAAUCUUCAAUAGUCUUCUUGCCUUCUUGUUUGCGGUUUAGUAGUGUUUGAUUUUUUUUUUGCAGUUAAAGAAGUGAAACAUAAAGUAGAAGAAGAAGAAGACAAACAUGGAGAUGAUGUUGAACUGAAUCUACUCUACAUUGUACAUUCUGACAUCUCAUCUCUUCUUCACCAGGUCCUUGCUUACUUCCUGCUCUUUUCCACACAAACCAUAAGAAUGCCUGCUGCUGGUGGAAUGGCGAGUGAAGAAGUUGGCGAGGAAGUACCUUUUAUUCUAUGGUUUACUAGUGUCUUUUGCUCCUUGGUUUGUGUAACAUGAUUUUAUUACUGACUGUGCCUUGUACAUUUCUGUUUGCAGGUACGUCUCUGUCUUUCAAUGAUUAAAUCAAGAGUUUAUGUUAAUUGAACAUAUUAAGGACUACUUUCAGAGCAGCAACAAAGUCAGAAACUUCAAAUUGAUGGCUCUCCAAUCUGAUAACAUCACAGUCAAUAGAGUUGAGAGUCUUCUCAAAAAACACCAAACCUUUUACUGACCGGAUCACCGCUGAGUACAUCUGGACGAGCACCUGGAGAAGAUACUGAAGUGAUUCUCUAGUAAGAAUUUUCUCAAGUGUUGGUACUAAAUGAAGCUGAGAAGCUCUCACGAGAAGCACACUUGCCGUCUCAUCUUAUGCUGUAACAGUUCUGACAGUCCCUCAGCAAGAUGACCGGUGGUAGGCGGUUUAAUACGUAUAACGCUUAUACAACCGUAGACGAGAAAGCUCUAACUGCAUAAAACCUUAAGGUUCUUGGAACACCAACUCUGGAGAUUAUCAAGGUGCAUCCCCCUAUGCUCUGUGUGAGAUACAGGCUAAGGCCAAGAAGAAAAUAGGAGCAAGGUUUUGAUUUAGUUCCCUUGUUUUCUAGUCCCUUUAUUAUUAGUUCUGAUUUUAUAAUGAUGUUUGUGUAAGAUUUGAUGAAAAUGUAGACAUGUUUGUGGUAUUGAUGUAAGUACAUUUUGGUUUAUUAAUGAAAUAUAAAUUGAAUAUUA